AUUUGAGUCUUCAUAAUUUUUUUUUUUUUAAAGAUUUUAUUUAUUCAUUUAUUUGAGAGAGUGAGAGAGAGAGAGUACAUGAGAGGGGGGAGGGUCAGAGGGAGAAGCAGACUUCCCGCUGAGCAGGGAGCCCGAUGCGGGACUCGAUCCAGGGACUCCAGGAUCAUGACCCAAGCCGAAGGCAGUCGCCCAACCAACUGAGCCACCCAGGUGCCCCGAGUCUUCAUAAUGUUAAAAAUAGGCAUUUGCCAAGAAACUGCAGACAGAAUUCCAAAAAUCAUAUUUGUUAUAUAGAUAUUAAUAAAUGUAGAUGUAAUAUAUAUGUAAAGAAAUCCUGUUUUUAUUAAAUGAUAAAGAGAUAAUACCGAAAAGUUUCUCACGUUACAGAAAAAGAAUAAAGUCCCAAGUCUAAAAUCUCUAUGCGAAACCUGAUCUCUGGUUGUUUCCUCACUAGCAUAAUUAAGCAUAUUUUCCAAACCUUGAAGAUUAAAGCAUCUCUCUUGAGCCCAGCAUAUUUCUUUAUGUAUAGAAUAAUUCUUGCUUACAUGGAACCUAACUCAUUUAUUUAUACCUGCUGUUAGUGUUCUUGGACCCAGUUUCAACGCAGUGGUCGUCGUGGUGUGGUUUCCCCACACCUCUAACAAGCAAUGCUUCGAGCACCAGAUGAAGAAGCUCGGACUCCAAGAAAUAGCCAAGAUGGCUCAGCCCUGAACCUCACUCUCCUACCUCCAAGUCCAAGUGCACCUUCCACUCCAACAUCAUUGUUUUUUUGGUCCUAUUCCAUAGACAAAGAGCAGGCCAAGGUCAGAGGGGUGGGGAAUGUAGAGCGUAAGGGGUUUUGAUGUGGUAAGAGCAGUGGAACAUUUAUGGGGUUCUUUCAGCCAACCAGGAAGUGUGUUUUACUUGUAAUUCCCAAAGCAAUCCGGGAGAGAGGCACUAUUAUUUUAAUCGUAGACGGGAGGAUUGAUUCUAAGGCUUACCUGAGGCUAGUUUAUAUUUGCCCAAGCCCUCAUAGCAUGAGGGAGACUCAGGAAAGUCUCAUUGUAGGGACUGAGUUUUUAACCCUAACACUAGGCUGAGAUCCACCGAUAGGGCCCAUGCCUUAUCUUACAGAGGAGGCACCUGCGACCAGAGAGGUACAUGACUUGCCCCCAGUCCCUCAGUGAGUACUGGGGAGAGAGCCAGGAAAAGAAAGACAGGUUCUCAGGGCUCUUUCCAAGGGACCUCACGAAACACCUGGUUUGUCCUUCAGGGAACUGCCGGUCUGUGGAGACAAAAGAUACUCCCGCUAUUGCUAAGGUCAUUACGGAGGGUUAAUAGAACAAGACCCAAACCUGUGCAUUUAAAGAGCUAUCCCUGCGCGAAACAGCUCUGCGACAGGGUAAGAAAAAAGUCGAGAAUACGGAGACAACUUGGGAUAGGAGAGUCAUCCACAGAUUCACUGCCAGGUCGGGGAACGGCCCACUGGGUCCUCGCCUCCUUCCAUCUCCCCUGCCUGGCCGGGCGCCAGCUCCACGCCCGUGGCUGCGCGCGCGCAGUGCGCGUGCCGGGCAAGGCUCGCCCCAGAGAGAAGGGCGCCCGCCCCCCAACCCCCGCCGCGCUCUCGGCGGCCCAGCUCCGCCCCCUACCUGGAAGGGCUCUGGCUCCGCCCCCGGGGGCCACGCGCUCACGGGCACGUUCUCCAAGCCGCGCGCGACAUCCAGCUGCUCAGUAAGGGCCUUGGGCCCCUCCUCAGGCCCUGCCAUCCCGCACGGCCACCUCUCUACAGCUUUCGCGGACGUUUCGCGCCAUCUCGACGCGCAGGGCGCCUAGACGCUUUCGAGCCUCGCAGAGGAAGCUGGGAAUCGUGGGACGCGCGGCCCCGCCGCCUCCUGGGAGCCGUAGUUUUUCUCUCUCCUUUCACAAGUGGCCUGUGAGGGCGUCUCCUCCCUCGACCCUCAGCUUUCCUUGACUUUUUGGAUUGGCUCGCUCUCUUUUAAGCCAGAUGCACAACAAAUAAUACACAGCUUUGGAAGACACCAAGAACUCGCAAUGACCUGAGUGGACCAAUCCUUCCUUUUCGCCUUUAAAAUAAACUGGGCAAAUAACUUGUCCACGAUCGCCGAGUUAUUAAAGCAACAAACCAAAGCGUUUCCCUAUAUUUCUUCCUCACCUUAGACCUCCGUAGCUACGAGCUUCCUGGCCAAAUCUUGUUGAUUCUACUUUUGUAAUGUUUCGCAUUUUCAUUUCUUUUUCCUUAGUCUCAGGCUCUGGUUUCUUCCUUGGAUUCUUGAAGUUAUUUUUUUCAAGCCUAACAUUCUCCCAAAUCACCUUUACAUUGCUUCUGUAGUCUUGGAGGUUGCACAUCCCAUUGUUACAUUGUUUAAAAUCCUGUGUUUAUGUGCACAGUGCUAUGUUUACCGAUUUGGGGAAUGUACCCACGAAGAAGACAUGAUGCCCCGGGAGAGUUCCAUUCCAGCAAACAAAUAAUUACAUACACCCAGAAAUUAAUAAGAACUAUGAGUAUUAUGAAUAAAUAACUAUAGGUCAAUGGGAAAACUCUUCUGUAUUUGAGAUGAUCAUGCUGUUUUUAUUAUUACUAUUUUUUUACUCUUUCUUGGUAGUAUUGUCUGCCCUUUGGAAUGAUAUUUUGAAGGAUCCAUUUUAUUUUUUUCCUGAAGUUGUCAGUGAAGGUGCUUCCUUUUUUUUUUUUAAAGAUUUUAUUUAUUUAUUUGAGAGAGAGAAUGAGAGAGAACACAUGAGAGGGGGGAGGGUCAGAGGGAGAAGCAGGCUCCCUGCCGAGCAGGGAGCCCGAUGCGGGACUCGAUCCCGGGACUCCAGGAUCAUGACCUGAGCCAAAGGCAGUCGCUUAACCAACUGAGCCACCCAGGCGCCCCGUGAAGGUGCUUCCUGAAUAAGAUAUUUAGUUCAUGUCAGCCCUUCAGUUUAAUUUGUUUUUAUCCUGCUAGCAAAGGAUCCGAAAGUAUUUUAUGUAGCGUGAGAUUAAAAUAAUGAGAGGAUGUUUGCAGGCUGAUAUAUCCAAUCUUCAUAGUGCCAAGCAGUCAGCCUUUCAUCUUUUCCAGGUCUAAAAACUUAUCUUAUUUUCUCUAGACACUUGCUCUUCACUACUAGAAACCUGGAUCUUCAAAAUUUGUCCUGAAAACUUUUUUAGCUAGAUGGUGGGAAAAAAAAAAAAAAAAAAAGUAUUCCUGGACAUUAAUGAGUUGCCCACACACUGACUGCUAUAAAUAAGAUUUGGACCUGAAUAUCACAUUGCUUAUUCAAAUUUCUUGUGUCUUUUUCAUUGGCAGAAGAAAAAUGAAUCUGAUCAGUAAUAAAAAAUAAUGCAAUAUAGUAAAACUCUACUAUUAUGUGGGUUAAUUUAUCUUUGGCUAAAUUAUGGGGUAUGACUAUAUGGCCUUCCCAUUUUUAAACACAAAUGGACUGUAAUUGAGAUGGUUUUGUCUUUUUUUUUUUUUUUUUUGCCAGUGCUUGAAGUUCUGCAUGAUUUUGUAUUGAGAAGCCAUUCUUUCAUCAGUCUUACUAGCGUUAUCUGAGCUUAAUCUGGGGUAUACUUUAUAGCCAGUGAUGAAAGGCCUAAAGUAAGCAGAAGUUAUGUAUUUGUUGGUGUUAAUGACAGCAUGAAUAGAAUAGUUUGGUAAUCUUAACACCAGUUAUAACUAUCACUACUAGAUAUUAAGUAGCACCUGGAUCUCAUAUCAAAUAAGAUUGUGUAAAUGAAAUCAUUUUGAAGAGAACAAAGCAUAGCAGUUGAUACUUCUGGGGGUUUCUGCCCAAUACAUUGACUCUUUCCCUUGCCAACCCCCCCCCGCCUCGCAGUCCAUCCCAUGGGGUGGGCUUGCUGAUAAUCAUGUUUAUAUUACACAACCCCUAAGCCUUGACUCAUGCUUUUGACUUCCUGAUGCAUAUUUGAUUCAAGCUAGGCCACUAAGAUUCUCUUUUUGAGUAGUUGAGACCAAAACCCAGCUAAAACUAUAUAUAUAAUUUGGGAGCAAGAGGUAGUUUUAUUCAGUAUAUUGAUGGAGAGGCAGAGUAAAUUCAGUCUUCCAAGAGGAAAACAAGGCAGGCAAGUGAGGAGAGAGGACUUCUUAGUUCCUGGCAUCUGGCCGUUUCUGGUUCUGAUUCCUUGUUAAUUCACACAACAUAUUUGUAUUCCUAUAACAAGUUCUUCCUUUAGGUUUAGGUUAAGUCUGUGUGGUGUCUGUUACUGUAGUCAAAGAAUUUAGACCAGUGAAAAUGAUGGUAUUAUUACUAUGGGCUGGUAAUCAACUACUCUGUAAGCAGUUAGUUGAUAGUUAUGAAUUUUUGUUUAUUUUAUAAGUUGGUAAGUUAUGUUUUUUAUUUUUAACACUUUGCUUUUCUGAUGUGUGUUACACUAAAGAAUGCCUCCCCAAGAUAAUAUGAAUAGAAAUUUACAUCAAAAAAUAGUAAAAAACCAUAAAAUUUAUAUCUGGUAGAAGGGAUAAUAAUGAGUUAUAGUGUACAUAAUAUAUGCCCAAUAUUGUAAAAAGAUAGUAGAAGAGAAAGGAAAUUGUUCAGAAAAUGCGUCUUUUUAGUAGUUGAAAUUGUAUGUCAAAAUGGAUGGCAUGUGGAUCAUUCUGCAGCAAGAAAAAAAUAUGGCUAUUGAUUAAAAUAACUUGAGAGUGGUAGUUUACAAAAUUAUGGUCCUGUGUUAUUUGUGCUUUUUAAAAGAUAGUAGCUUAUGUUUUUAUGUUUAGACUGCUAGUAAAUAUAUAGUUUAGCAGAAUAAAAAACUUGCAUCAUGUUCUAUAUUUUUAUCAUUGCAUUGCAGUUUAAUGAAAUCCAUAAUUUACCUCAUUGACAUGACAACAAAAAACAUCAAGAUAUAAUUAUAAUCAGAAUAUUGUUCAUCUAAGUGCUUUAGUUGUAAAUAUCCAGGAUUGAUGAUUAUAGAAUAAUAACUCAUAAUGGUAUGCAGUGAGAUGGGGAUUGUUUGAUAAUAGAUAAAGAGGUGAAAGAAGAGAAUUAUGUAUCUAUUUAACCUGAAAGUUGCCAGCAGGGAAUUAAUGUCACUUGUCAAAGACAUGUGAUCAAAUUUAUUACCAGGUGUGUUCAAAUACUAUUACCAAGUCUAUGAGAACAGACUUGCUGUGUUUGCAACUUGUUUGCAACAGCCUUUCAAGGAGUUAGGUUCACACAUUUUCAUUUUGACUUGGGAAGGUUAACUUUACUUGUUACUUAGAAGGAUGCACACAUAAGCAAAACAUCAUGAUUUUUAAAAAGUACUAGAUCGGGGCACCUGGGUGGCUCGGUCGUUAACUGCCUGCCUUCUGCUCAGGUCAUAAUCCCAGGGUCCUGGGGUCGUAGUUUUGAAAGCAAAGAUGUGUAUCCUUUGAAGUUUAGUGCCAUGAAUGUCUUGUUGCAGAGAAAUCUACCUAGAAAUUUAAGCCCACAUCUGCAAGAGUCUACAAGAUAAUUUCCACCAGAUACCCUCAAGUAUCAUCUGACACCAGGAUUUUUCUUAGGAAUUGUAUUAAAUUUCAGCUUCUUAUAAUUCUACAUUCCUGCAACUUUCUAGACCUUUGCAGCAUUUUUGCUCUGGUAGCUUCCCAGCUCCAAUUCUGGUUACUUGGAAAGAGAAGGGAAAUGAAACCAAAGAAACAAAAAGACUAAUGCAAAGAAUUCUACUCAAAUGCCCAAACUAACUUGAUUAAA